rnacentral:rRNA from 1 species
UGGGGAAUUUUGGACAAUGGGCGAAAGCCUGAUCCAGCAAUGCCGCGUGUGUGAAGAAGGCCUUCGGGUUGUAAAGCACUUUUGUCCGGAAAGAAAUCCUUGGCUCUAAUACAGUCGGGGGAUGACGGUACCGGAAGAAUAAGCACCGGCUAACUACGUGCCAGCAGCCGCGGUAAUACGUAGGGUGCAAGCGUUAAUCGGAAUUACUGGGCGUAAAGCGUGCGCAGGCGGUUUGCUAAGACCGAUGUGAAAUCCCCGGGCUCAACCUGGGAACUGCAUUGGUGACUGGCAGGCUAGAGUAUGGCAGAGGGGGGUAGAAUUCCACGUGUAGCAGUGAAAUGCGUAGAGAUGUGGAGGAAUACCGAUGGCGAAGGCAGCCCCCUGGGCCAAUACUGACGCUCAUGCACGAAAGCGUGGGGAGCAAACAGGAUUAGAUACCCUGGUAGUCCACGCCCUAAACGAUGUCAACUAGUUGUGGGGAUUCAUUCCUUAGUAACGUAGCUAACGCGUGAAGUUGACCGCCUGGGGAGUACGGUCGCAAGGUUAAAACUCAAAGGAAUUGACGGGGUCAUAGCUG